rnacentral:lncRNA from 1 species
AAGCAGGCUGCCUGCCCUAGCAGUAGCAACUUGCUCAGAUUUAUGUUUCCGUAGUGUGGGAGCUUUGUUCUUUCACUGUUUGCGGUGCCAUUCCAUAUAAAGUGAAGGAUAACGGCUACAGCAUUUUUUGUUAGACUUGGACAAUGUUGAAUGUACUACAGAAGCAUACUUUAAGCUGGCAUGGUGGCACAAGCUUACAGUUCAGCUACUAGUGAAGAUGAGGGGGAAAGAUUGCUUGAGCCGGGGAGAUACAGGCUGCCGUGAGCCAAGAUCGCAUCAGUGCACUCCAGCAUGGGAGACAAAGUGAGACUGUCUCAAAAAGGAAAAAAAA